AGGUCUGAAAGAUAUUUAUACCCAUGUGUUUCACGAACAGCUCUUGACAGCAGAAUGCUCAGCAGGUGAGUUACUUGUUCAGUGAUGAUGUACUUCUACAUCUCACCUAUAUGCCAUACCAGUGUCACCAUACUCCUUGGUUAAGAGGACAACCAACCCAUAUGGCACACAACGACCUUCACUCGAUAAAUAUCAUCAUUCUGUAAUG
rnacentral:lncRNA from 1 species